AAGAAAAUGAGCAUCCUAGAAAUUAAAGAAUCCAAGCUCGGCCACUCGUCAUACAACAAACCAUGAUAGAGAUAGAUAGGGGAUUAAAGCGACAACGUUAUUGUCCCUUAUAAAUAUCUAAGUCUCAAACUUUAUCCUAAAUAUUGUCAAGUCCAGACUCUCUGUUGUGCAUAUUCUACACCAAAGAGGGUUGUGAAUCAGCCCCCAUGUCAUCCAUCAUUGAAACACAUGGCUAACAUUCAUUAUCAAAUAAGCUGGGCAUGAAUAUGAGCCAUAGCCGUCCAUUUUUGAAAUAGACGUACGUUGUAGUAGUUAUCCAAAGAUGCACGUUCAUUAUAGUGCAAAAGAGGCACAAUAGAUGAUCCUAGUUCGUUAUUAUCAACCCGAGAUGCUGGAUAAAUCUACCCUUAUGUUUGAAUGGCACACUUAAACAGCAAUAAGUGGAACGCCUCUUGUUUCAAAAAAAUAGAAAUUGGUUAACUAUACUCUUCUUACACUCAUAUUUUACGCAUUGAAAUGGCAGCAAAAAUUAAAUUAGUUGAAAAUAUAUCUCAAUAUAAUCGAAAGUAUAUCUGAUAAAAGUUUUAAACUUUUAAAACUGUUCCAAUCAUCUGCUUGCAUGAUAGCGUGUGAAGGAAAGAAGAGUAUUAGUCCAUGAAUAUCGGAAAAAACUUUGUAGUGUCUUAACAGAAAAUGUUUCUUAUGCAGGAAAA
rnacentral:lncRNA from 1 species